AUUGAACGCUGGCGGCAGGCUUAACACAUGCAAGUCGAACGAGUGGCGGACGGGUGAGUAAUGCUUGGGAAUCUGGCUUAUGGAGGGGGAUAACUACUGGACACUGUAGCUAAUACCGCGUACCAUCGGAUGCGCCCACGUGGGAUUAGGUCGUUGGUGGGGUAAAGGCUCACCAAGCCGACGAUCUCUAGCUGGUCUGAGAGGAUGACCAGCCACACUGGGACUGAGACACGGUCCAGACUCCUACGGGAGGCAGCAGUGGGGAAUAGUGCGCAAUGGGGGCAAGCUGAUGCAGCCAUGCCGCGUGAAUGAAGAAGGCCUUCGGGUUGUAAAGUUCUUUCGGUAGGGAGGCGUUAACUACAGAAGAAGCACCGGCUAACUCCGUGCCAGCAGCCGCAGUAAUAC
rnacentral:rRNA from 1 species